UAACACGUAUCCAACCUACCGGUUAUUCCGGGAUAGCCUUUCGAAAGAAAGAUUAAUACCGGAUAGUAUAACGAGAAGGCAUCUUUUUGUUAUUAAAGAAUUUCGAUAACCGAUGGGGAUGCGUUCCAUUAGUUUGUUGGCGGGGUAACGGCCCACCAAGACAUCGAUGGAUAGGGGUUCUGAGAGGAAGGUCCCCCACAUUGGAACUGAGACACGGUCCAAACUCCUACGGGAGGCAGCAGUGAGGAAUAUUGGUCAGUGGACGAGAGUCUGAACCAGCCAAGUAGCGUGAAGGAUGACUGCCCUAUGGGUUGUAAACUUCUUUUAUAUGGGAAUAAAGUGAGCCACGUGUGGCUUUUUGUAUGUACCAUACGAAUAAGGAUCGGCUAACUCCGUGCCAGCAGCCGCGGUAAUACGGAGGAUCCGAGCGUUAUCCGGAUUUAUUGGGUUUAAAGGGAGCGUAGGCGGACUAUUAAGUCAGCUGUGAAAGUUUGCGGCUCAACCGUAAAAUUGCAGUUGAUACUGGUCGUCUUGAGUGCAGUAGAGGUAGGCGGAA
rnacentral:rRNA from 1 species